AACGAACGCUGACGGCAGGCCUAACACAUGCAAGUCGAGCGAAGCCUUCGGGCUUAGCGGCGGACGGGUGAGUAACGCGUGGGAACGUGCCCUUUGGUACGGAAUAGCCCCGGGAAACUGGGAGUAAUACCGUAUGUGGUCGAGAGACGAAAGAUUUAUCGCCAAAGGAUCGGCCCGCGUUGGAUUAGGUAGUUGGUGGGGUAAUGGCCUACCAAGCCGACGAUCCAUAGCUGGUUUGCGAGGAUGAUCAGCCACACUGGGACUGAGACACGGCCCAGACUCCUACGGGAGGCAGCAGUGGGGAAUCUUAGACAAUGGGGGAAACCCUGAUCUAGCCAUGCCGCGUGAUCGAUGAAGGCCUUAGGGUUGUAAAGAUCUUUCAGUGGGGAAGAUAAUGACUGUACCCACAGAAGAAGCCCCGGCUAACUCCGUGCCAGCAGCCGCGGUAAUAC
rnacentral:rRNA from 1 species